UCCAAUGUGGACUGACGCAGGACAGCAGAGGGUGUUUGGUACAUGAUGUGUUUCAGCAAGGAUGUCCCAGGGAAGAAGGGAGUUAGAGGCUGAAACAUACUCAGCCAUCCUGUAUCUAAAUUGCGUGAAAUCAACAAGGUUCCUCCUUCUCACUACCAAUAUUUAUCUUCCUGAUUUAUCUCCCUGUGCCCCAGGAACACAUCCCUCCACCUUUUUUCUGACCCUGCUUUCCAAGAUCACAUCCUGGGUGGUUUCCUUUAUUGCAGUCUUUGAGCUCUAUUUCCUAUUCUGAAAGCAUAAUGCCCAGGAACACAGACUUCACCACUUACCAGAGUUUUAAAACCAACAGCAACAACGACCUUGGGUUGGUUACUUAACCCCUAUGCCUCAGCGUCCUUACAUGUGAGAUGGGGAUAAUAAAUGAGUGUGAAGUGUUUAGAAUUGCUCGGUUUGUACAUUAACUUCAGUUUUUAGAGAGAGUCUCCUGAACUACCCCUAGAAAGAAUGUAAGGUAUGAAGAGGCAAGAUUUUCAUGCGUUUUCUAGGUGUUAAGCCUAGAAGGGAACACAAUGCCCUCCUGCCAUUUUAGAAGGGCUACAUUGUCUUGGCAUGUGACUGCCUCAGUGAGGGGUAGCAUUUAGGUGACAAAUAGUUGCAUGUUAAAAACAAAAAAACUUGAUUAUGCUUAAAGUAGUGGUUCUACCAGCAUGUUCCGUGGCAGCGCUGGUUUUGCCCACCACAUUAAAAUUUUUUUUGCCCCAGGGCCAGCACUACCAAGUAGAAUAUGCAUAUGCUUUUAAAGCUGUUAACCAGGGUGGCCUUACAUCAGUAACUGCCAGAGGAAAAGACUGCUGUAAUUAUCAUACAGAAGAAAUACCUGACAAAUUAUCGGAUUCCAGCACAGUGACUCACUUAUUCAAGAUAACUGAAAACAUUGGUUGUGUGAUGACCGGAAUGACAGCUAACAGCAGAUCUCAGGUACAGAGGGCACGCUAUGGGGCAGCUAACUGGAAAUACAAGUAUGGCUGAGAUUCCUGUGGACAUUCUGUGUAGAAGAAUUGCUGAUACUACUCAGAAUGCUACAGUGAGGUCUCCUGGUUGUUGUAUGAUUUUCACUGGGAUAGAUGAAGAACAAGGCCCUCAGGUGUGAAAGUGUGAUCCUCCAGGUUACGGCUGUGAUUUAAAGCCACUGCAGCAGGAGUUAAACAAACUGAGUUAACCAGCUUCCUUGAAAAAAAAAGUGAAAAAGAAAUUUGAUUGGACAUUUGAACAGACAGUGGAAACUGCAAUUACAUGCCUGUCUACUGUUUUAUCAAUUGAUUUCAAACCUUCAGAAAUAGAAGUUGGAGUAGUGACGGUUGAAAAUCCUAAAUUCGGGAUUCAUACAGAAGCAGAGAUUGAUGCGCUCACAUUGUUGUUAGUUUACCAAAUCCAUGAUGCCACUUACCGGUGUGUUUGGUAA